rnacentral:rRNA from 1 species
GAUCAUGGCUCAGGAUGAACGCUGGCGGCGUGCCUAAUACAUGCAAGUGAAACGGGUAUCUUCGGAUACCAGUCGCGGACGGGUGAGUAAUACAUAGGCAACCUGCCUUUAUGAGGGGGAUAACCGAGGGAAACUUUGGCUAAUACCGCAUGAAGACUCUAAGGCAUCUUAGAGGGAUAAAAGUUGGGAAACAACGCAUGAAGAUGGGCUUAUGGCGCAUUAGCUAGUUGGUGAGAUAGAAGCCCACCAAGGUAAUGAUGCGUAGCCGACCUGAGAGGGUGAACGGCCACAUUGGGACUGAGACACGGCCCAAACUCCUACGGGAGGCAGCAGUAGGGAAUUUUCGGCAAUGGGGGGAACCCUGACCGAGCAACGCCCGCGUGAAGGAAGAAGGUUUUCGGAUUGUAAACUUCUGUUAUAAGGGAAGAACGGAUUGGAUAGGGAAUGAUCUGAUAGUGACGGUACCUUAUUAGAAAGCCACGGCUAACUACGUGCCAGCCGCGGC